GACGAACGCUGGCGGCGUGCUUAACACAUGCAAGUCGAACGGGUCUGCCCUGUUUUUUGCGGGGUGGGUCAGUGGCGAACGGGUGAGUAACACGUGAGUAACCUGCCCCUCACUUCUGGAUAACCGCUUGAAAGGGUGGCUAAUACGGGGUGUUCUGGCUGUGCCGCAUGGUGUGGCUGGGAAAGAUUCACUUUUGUGGUGUUUUGGUGGGGGAUGGGCUCGCGGCCUAUCAGCUUGUUGGUGGGGUGAUGGCCUGCCAAGGCUUUGACGGGUAGCCGGCCUGGGAGGGUGGGCGGUCACACUGGGACUGAGAUACGGCCCAGACUCCGGGGGGAGGCAGCAGUGGGGGGUAUUGCACAAUGGGCGGAAGCCUGAUGCAGCGACGUCGCGUGAGGGAUGGAGGCCUUCGGGUUGUGAACCUCUUUCGCCGGUGAAGAAGGUCCUGCUCUUUGUGGUGGGGUUGACGGUAGCCGGGUUAUGAAGCGCCGGCUAACUACGUG
rnacentral:rRNA from 1 species